rnacentral:lncRNA from 1 species
UUUCUUAAAAAAAAGUAAAAAUAUACAGAACUUACCAGAACUAUGAAUCAUUUUGAGUUUAAUUACCUAAUCUUUCAAAAUUUUAAUUUUACUAUCCAACCUUACCAAUUUGCCAGAUUUGAGUCUGACGAAUUUGAAUCUGCCGUUUACUUUUAUAGAUUUAGUUAGUAUAUUUUAUACAAUUCUCGUAACUAUAAAUUCAUUAAAGUAAGUAAUCGGCUUAAAUUUUGAAAUCAAAAUAUCGUUGACUGACACAAAUCAAACAAAUCAAACAAAUUAAAAAGCUGGAUAAUAAAAUCAANAGUAAAAAUAUACAGAACUUACCAGAACUAUGAAUCAUUUUGAGUUUAAUUACCUAAUCUUUCAAAAUUUUAAUUUUACUAUCCAACCUUGCAAUUUGCCGGAUUUGAGUCUGACGAAUUUGAAUCUGCCGUUUACUUUUACAGAUUUAGUUAGUAUAUUUCAUACAAUUCUCGUAACUAUAAAUUCAUUAAAGUAAGUAAUCGGCUUAAAUUUUGAAAUCAAAAUAUCGUUGACCGACACAAAUCAAACAAAUCAAACAAAUUAAAAAGCUGGAUAAUAAAAUCACAAUUUUGAUAAGCCCUAAAAUUAAAAUUUAAAAAAAUUUAAAAAAUUUAAAAUCUCCUCAGAUGUCUCUUCAUCUCCACACACACUUCCACAUAACAGCAUCUGAGAUGAUGCUACUGCUGCUUUCGGAAAUUGGAACGAUUUUUGGAAGCAAACAGGGUAAGAAUAAUUCAUCAUCAUAGGAGGAAUCGUAGUAGUAGUAACAAUAAUAAUAAUAAUAAUUGACAAAAAAA